rnacentral:rRNA from 1 species
UGGCCGCAGUAAUUUGACUGUGCAAAGGUAGCAUAAUCAAUAGUUUUUUAAUUGAAAGCUUGUAUGAAGGGUUGGACGAAAUAAUAUCUGUCUUUAUUUAAUAAUUAUUAAAAUUUAAUUUUUAAGUUAAAAAGCUUAAAUAUUUAUAAAAGACGAGAAGACCCUAUAGAGCUUUAUAAAUUUUGAUUUAUAAAUAUUUUAGAUUUUUUAUUUUUAUAAUUUAUAAUUUAUUUUAUUGGGGUAAUAGAAAGAUUUAAUUAAUUCUUUUUUUUGUUUUUAUUUAUUUAUAUUUAUAAUGAUCCAUUAUUAAUGAUUAUAAGAUUAAGUUACCUUAGGGAUAACAGCGUAAUUUUUUUAGAGAGUUCAUAUUGAUAAAAAAGUUUGCGACCUCGAUGUUGGAUUAAAGAUUAGUUUAGGUGCAAAAGUUUAAAUUUUUGGUCUGUUCGACCAUUAAAUCUUUACAUGAUCUGAGUUCAGACCGGUUUAAGCCAGGUCGGUUUCUAUCUUUAUUAUAUUAAAAUAUUUUAGUACGAAAGGACCAAAUAUUAAUUAUAUUAAUUUUAUUUUUGAAUAAUAUU